GGUGUACCAGUUGUCGUGCCAACGGCAUAGCUGGGUAGCUAUGUAUGGACGGGAUAAGUGCUGAAAGCAUCUAAGCAUGAAGCCCCCCUCAAGAUGAGAUUUCCCAACUUCGGUUAUAAGAUCCCUCGAAGAUGACGAGGUUAAUAGGUUCGAGGUGGAAGCGUGGUGACACGUGGAGCUGACGAAUACUAAUCGAUCGAAGACUUAAUCAA
rnacentral:ncRNA from 3 species